UCCCUUCCCUUCCCUUCCCUUCCCUUCCCUUCCCUUCCCUUCCCUUCCCUUCCCUUCCCUUCCCUUCCCUUCCCUUCCCUUCCCUUCCCUUCCCUUCCCCUUCCCUUCCCUUCCCUUCCCUUCCCAUAAAGAGAAUUUUGCCUCAUUCUCUCUCCCCAGGCUGAAAGUCCCCCCUGCAGUUCUGCACUGUGCAUAUUGACUCAAAUGAAGCUUUGUGUAAUAAGAUUGGAAUUGUAAUGACUCAUUAUGCCAAGCUUCUUUUUGCUGGUGUUUUACACAGUGAGUGUGCACAGAGUGCAGGGUCCUGCUGCAGAAAAUCCCAGAGUUGGCGGUGGGAAUCCAAAUAUUUACAAUUGUAAUUGGCAGCCAGAGAAGUGGACUGGUUGGCUUAUCUUUCUUUUUGCUGGCAGCUCUUCCUGCUCUCGUUAGUACAUGAAAGUCGAAUUGUGCUGGGCAGCUCUGUCCUGACAAAGCAACUCUGAAAUUAUAUGUGAAAUGCAACUAGACAUCGCUAAUUCUACUUUUUAGGCAAGUUUUUUCUCAUGUGAAUGAUGAGUUUUGCUCCUUACCUAAAAAUAUUUUGUAUCUUUUAAGCCUUUUGCGCUGCG
rnacentral:lncRNA from 12 species